rnacentral:rRNA from 1 species
UACGGAGGGGGCUAGCGUUGUUCGGAAUUACUGGGCGUAAAGCGCGCGUAGGCGGACCUGCAAGUCGGGGGUGAAAGCCCGAGGCUCAACCUCGGAACUGCCUUCGAUACUGCGGGUCUCGAGUCCGGGAGAGGUGAGUGGAAUUCCUAGUGUAGAGGUGAAAUUCGUAGAUAUUAGGAAGAACACCAGUGGCGAAGGCGGCUCACUGGCUCGGUACUGACGCUGAGGCGCGAAAGCGUGGGGAGCAAA